rnacentral:rRNA from 1 species
GAUGAACGCUGGCGGUGUGCCUAAUACAUGCAAGUCGAGCGGAAGGACGAGAAGCUUGCUUUUCUGAUGUUAGCGGCGGACGGGUGAGUAACACGUGGAUAAGCUACUUAUAAGACUGGGAGAACAUCGGGGAAAAGGAGAUGAUAAUGGAUAAUAUUUUGAACCGGAUGGAGCAAAAGUGAAAGACGGUCUUGCUGUCACUAAUAGAUGGUUCCGCGCUGCAUUAGCUAGUGGGUAAGGUAACGGCUCACCAAGGAAACGAUGCAUAGCCGACCUGAGAGGGUGAUCGGCCACACUGGAACUGAGACACGGUCCAGACUCCUACGGGAGGCAGCAGUAGGGAAUCUUCCACAAUGGGCGAAAGCCUGACGCAGCAACACCGCGUGAGUGAAGAAGGUCUUCGGGUCGUAAAACUCUGUUAUUAGGGAAGAACAUAUGUGUAAUUAACUGUGCACAUCUUGACGGUACCCAAUCAGAAAGCCCCGGCUAACUUCGUG